AGAGGAUCGAUUGACACGGAUACCUGCCCACUGAAAUUAUUAAAUGGCCGCAGUAUAUUAACUGUGCAAAGGUAGCAUAAUCAUUAGUCUUUUAAUUGAAGGCUGGAAUGAAUGGUUGGACGAAAUAUAUACUGUUUCAAUUAAAUUUAUUAUAGAAUUUUAUUUUUUAGUCAAAAAGCUAAAAUAUUAUUAAAAGACGAGAAGACCCUAUAAAUCUUUAUAUUUAGAUUAUUUUAAUUAUUUAGAUAAAUUUUAUUAUUAUAAUUAUAAAUAUUUUAUUGGGGUGAUAUUAAAAUUUAAUAAACUUUUAAUUUAUUAAAUCAUUAAUUUAUGAAUAAUUGAUCCAAUUUUAUUGAUUAAAAAUUUAAGUUACUUUAGGGAUAACAGCGUAAUUUUUUUGGAGAGUUCAUAUCGAUAAAAGAGAUUGCGACCUCGAUGUUGGAUUAAGAGAUAAAUUUGGGCGCAGCUGUUCAAAAGUUAAGUCUGUUCGACUUUUAAAUUCUUACGUGAUCUGAGUUCAGACCGGA
rnacentral:rRNA from 1 species